rnacentral:rRNA from 1 species
UACGUAGGGUGCGAGCGUUAAUCGGAAUUACUGGGCGUAAAGCGUGCGUAGGCGGUUCCUCAAGUCCGUCGUGAAAGCCCCGGGCUCAACCUGGGAAUGGCAGUGGAAACUAGGGGACUGGAAUCUGGCAGAGGGGGGUGGAAUUCCACGUGUAGCGGUGAAAUGCGUAGAGAUGUGGAGGAACACCGAUGGCGAAGGCAGCCUCCUGGGCCAAUACUGACGCUCAUGCACGAAAGCGUGGGGAGCAAACAGG